rnacentral:rRNA from 1 species
UACGGAGGAGGCAAGCGUUAUCCGGAAUUAUUGGGCGCAAAGCGUCCGCAGGUGGCACUUCAAGUCUGUCGUCAAAGACUGGGGCUUAACCCUGGAAAGGCGGUGGAAACUGAAGCGCUAGAGUGUGGUAGGGGUAGAGGGAAUUCCCGGUGUAGCGGUGAAAUGCGUAGAUAUCUGAAGGAACAUCAGUGGCGAAAGCGACUUCCUGGACCAAUACUGACGCUCAUGUGCGAAAGCGUGGGGAGCAAACAGG